AAAAAUAAAUACACUUACUGCGCGGCGAAAACCUUACAACAGUGUCUUUUUGAUACAGAACUCUUGAUUUGGUUUGGCCUAGAGAUAGGUUGGGCCAGAGGUUUAACCAAACACAAUUUAAUUAUUUUUACAGUUAGUCAACUUUUGAAUUAAUCUUCAAAACUUUCAACAACGGAUCUCUUGGUUCUCGCAUCGAUGAAGAACGCAGCGAAAUGCGAUAAGUAAUAUGAAUUGCAGAUUUUCGUGAAUCAUCGAAUCUUUGAACGCACAUUGCGCCCUCUGGUAUUCCAGAGGGCAUGCCUGUUUGAGCGUCAUUUCUCUCUCAAACCCCCGGGUUUGGUAUUGAGUGAUACUCUUAGUCGGACUAGGCGUUUGCUUGAAAAGUAUUGGCAUGGGUAGUACUGGAUAGUGCUGUCGACCUCUCAAUGUAUUAGGUUUAUCCAACUCGUUGAAUGGGUGGCGGGAUAUUUCUGGUAUUGUGGCCCGGCCUACAACAACCAAUCAAGUCGCCUCAAUCCGGAGGAGCCC
rnacentral:rRNA from 1 species